rnacentral:rRNA from 1 species
AGAGUUUGAUCCUGGCUCAGAGCGAACGCUGGCGGCAGGCUUAACACAUGCAAGUCGAGCGGGCGUAGCAAUACGUCAGCGGCAGACGGGUGAGUAACGCGUGGGAACAUACCUUUUGGUUCGGAACAACACAGGGAAACUUGUGCUAAUACCGGAUAAGCCCUUACGGGGAAAGAUUUAUCGCCGAAAGAUUGGCCCGCGUCUGAUUAGCUAGUUGGUGAGGUAACGGCUCACCAAGGCGACGAUCAGUAGCUGGUCUGAGAGGAUGAUCAGCCACAUUGGGACUGAGACACGGCCCAAACUCCUACGGGAGGCAGCAGUGGGGAAUAUUGGACAAUGGGCGCAAGCCUGAUCCAGCCAUGCCGCGUGAGUGAUGAAGGCCCUGGGGUUGUAAAGCUCUUUUGUGCGGGAAGAUAAUGACGGUACCGCAAGAAUAAGCCCCGGCUAACUUCGUGCCAGCAGCCGCGGUAAUACGAAGGGGGCUAGCGUUGCUCGGAAUCACUGGGCGUAAAGGGUGCGUAGGCGGGUCUUUAAGUCAGGGGUGAAAUCCUGGAGCUCAACUCCAGAACUGCCUUUGAUACUGAAGAUCUUGAGUUCGGGAGAGGUGAGUGGAACUGCGAGUGUAGAGGUGAAAUUCGUAGAUAUUCGCAAGAACACCAGUGGCGAAGGCGGCUCACUGGCCCGAUACUGACGCUGAGGCACGAAAGCGUGGGGAGCAAACAGGAUUAGAUACCCUAGUAGUCC